UCUCGAUUGGUCUAGUGGUCAGGAUACCUGCUUGUCAUCUACCGAAGACAAAGUCGCAGGUGGCCGGGGUUCGAUUCCCCGAUCGAGAG